rnacentral:rRNA from 1 species
UCUGGAGACAGGUGCUGCAUGGCUGUCGUCAGCUCGUGUCGUGAGAUGUUGGGUUAAGUCCCGCAACGAGCGCAACCCUUGCCUUUAGUUGCCAGCAGUCGGCUGGGCACUCUAAAGGGACUGCCGGUGCUAAACCGGAGGAAGGUGGGGAUGACGUCAAGUCCUCAUGGCCUUUAUGACCAGGGCUACACACGUACUACAAUGGCCGAUACAAAGGGCAGCGACACUGCGAGGUGAAGCCAAUCCCGUAAAAAUCGGUCUCAGUCCGGAUUGGAGUCUGCAACUCGACUCCAUGAAGUUGGAAUCGCUAGUAAUCGUGGAUCAGCAUGCCACGGUGAAUACGUUCCCGGGCCUU